rnacentral:lncRNA from 1 species
UGAAGGAGAAAGAUAUUUAAAUACAGUAAUAUUUUCUGUAAUGAAAUUUUAGUUAAUAAUUGCAAAUUUUAAAUUUGUAAAAAUCAAUUUUAAUAUGAAAUUUGUUGCAUACUAAGUUUUGAUGGAAAAUAAAGACCAAUAAUAUAUGGACUACUUGGAAAGCUACAAAUAAAAAUAUAGAAAUUCUCUUUUAUUAGAGAAAUUGUAUUAUAAACUUCACUACUGUAAAUUUACAUAAUAAUGAAUGGGCUAUAUUUAUUAAAAGAGAGGUACAUCUGGAUAUCAUUACCUGGAUUGCUAGUCAUUACCCAUUAUCCAGGAUGUUAUCAAUCUUGAUUAUGCAGUUAAUAAUCUCCUCUCUCACUUCUCAUAUAGCAGCUUUUAUAAAUGAGAGUUACUGCUAUAUUUCACUAGAUAAUUGUGCAUUUUGCACUACUGAUAUAAAAUUCACAAUGUGUUUUUAUUGGAUAAUAGAUAUCAGUUUGAGAGAAAAAGUUCUCCCUCCUUUAGUAACUGUAUUUUAUCAGUACAAAUUGGAAAAAAUAAAAUCUUUUUAUAUAUUUUCAAACUUUAUAUCAUAAUGUUUUCCUAUGAAGGGUAAUUAUGCUGUACCACCAAUAUAAAGCUAGUCUCUUGAAGAAAUAAACAUUGUUGAUUUGAAAUGUUUUGUGAUGAUUAAUACUCAUUCCCAAAAUGUACAUAAGAUCUUAAUGCAUGUUUCUUCCCUCAUUCUUAC